AUACGGAGGUUGCAAGCGUUACUCGGAAUCACUGGGCGUAAAGGACGCGUAGGCGGAUUGGAAAGUCAGAUGUGAAAUCCUACAGCUUAACUGUAGAACUGCAUUUGAAACUUCUAAUCUAGAGUAUGGGAGGGGGAGAUGGAAUUAGUGGUGUAGGGGUAAAAUCCGUAGAUAUCACUAGGAAUACCGAAAGCGAAGGCGAUCUCCUGGAACAUAACUGACGCUAAGGCGUGAAAGCGUGGGGAGCAAACGGGAUUAGAAACCCUAGUAGUCC
rnacentral:rRNA from 1 species